rnacentral:lncRNA from 1 species
GGGAUCAACUGAGAAUAUGUUUAUUUAAAAGCAAUUUUAAAUAUUAAAAAAAGUAGAAAUGAACACAUACAGUACUGGAAAACAAUCACAUUAAAUACAUGUGAAAUGACGAGUGUACUGAUGUCUGAGCAUAACAUCCAGAUGGGAAUUCAGAAUUUAACUUGUGGCGCUGUGGGAUCCCUAUACAACAUGUUGAAGUUCUAGGCAAUAAAAAAAUAAAUAGCAAUUGCUGUUCAACAGUAAAAUAAGACACACACUAUUUGCAGAACAUAACGUUCCCCACUGCGGGGGGGCAAAGAAGAAUUAGCUAUUUUUCCCGUAAGGUUCCAUACCUUCAAAAUACUCUCUAUCAUGUACAAAAUUGCAGAUAGCGGCUCACUGAGUUUAAGAACAAUACCAGAUUCAAACUCAACCAAGGUCGCCAAAGAUAUUUAUUUAUAUCUAUUUUUCCUAUGUCCCACAGUAAGCUGGGUUAGAGAAAACUCAGAUUCUUCGGGAGGUGACUUCCUGUCCUGACACCCGGCUGCUAAACUACCGAGGCUGCCGACACUGUGGGC